AACGAACGCUGGCGGCAUGCCUAACACAUGCAAGUCGAACGAGACCUUCGGGUCUAGUGGCGCACGGGUGCGUAACGCGUGGGAACCUGCCCUUAGGUUCGGAAUCACUCCCCGAAAGGGGUGCUAAUACCGGAUAAUGUCUUAGGACCAAAGAUUUAUCGCCUUUGGAUGGGCCCGCGUUGGAUUAGCUAGUUGGUAGGGUAAAAGCCUACCAAGGCGACGAUCCAUAGCUGGUCUGAGAGGAUGAUCAGCCACACUGGGACUGAGACACGGCCCAGACUGGUACGGGAGGGAGCAGUGGGUAAUAUUGGGGAAUGGGCGAAGGCCUGAUCCAGCAAUGCCGCGGGAGUGAUGAAGGCCUUAGGGUUGUAAAGCUCUUUUACCCGAGAUGAUAAUGACAGUACCGGGAGAAUAAGCACCGGCUGACUCCGUG
rnacentral:rRNA from 1 species